rnacentral:misc_RNA from 1 species
GAUGAAGAACGCAGCGAAAUGCGAUACGUAAUGUGAAUUGCAGAAUACAGUGAAUCAUCGAAUCUUUGAACGCAUAUUGCGCUCUCUGGUAUUCCGGAGAGCAUGCUUGUUUGAGUAUCAGUAAACACCUCAACUUCCAUAUCUUUUUUGAAAUGGGAGUUGGACUUGAGUGAUCCCAACGCUUUUCCUCACCGAAAAGUGGCGGGUUACUUGAAAUGCAGGUGCAGCUGGACUUUUCUCUGAGCUAUAAGCAUAUCUAUUUAGUCUGCCUAAAAAACAGAUUAUUACCUUUGCUGCAGCUAACAUAAAGGAGAUUAGUUCUUGUGCUGACUGAUGCAGGAUUCACAAAGACAGGCUUCGGCCGACUUUGUAAACUCGAUCUCAAAUCAAGUAAGACUACCCGCUGAACUUAAGCAUAUCAAUAAGCGGAGGA